rnacentral:lncRNA from 1 species
GCUGUAACAACAAUAACAAUAACAGUAUUAGCAGUAGCAGUAGUAGUAGCUGUAGUAGAAAUAAUAACAGUAGUAGCAGUAACAGUAGUAUCAAUAGUACCUGCUGUAGUAGUAGUAACAAUAAUAACAACAGUAAAAGUAGCAGUAGUAAUAGCAGUAGUAAUAGUAUUAAUAAUAGUAGUAGUAGUAGUAAUAGUAGUAGUAGUA